CGAGUGGCGGACGGGUGAGUAACGCGCGGGUAACCUGCCUUACACAGGGGGAUAACACCUGGAACAGGUGCUAAUACCGCAUAAGCGCACAGGGCCGCAUGGCCCGGUGUGAAAAACUCCGGUGGUGUAAGAUGGACCCGCGUCUGAUUAGCUUGUUGGCGGGGUAGGGGCCCACCAAGGCGACGAUCAGUAGCCGGCCUGAGAGGGUGGACGGCCACAUUGGGACUGAGACACGGCCCAAACUCCUACGGAAGGCAGCAG
rnacentral:rRNA from 1 species